GACACUUGAGGACACUGUGAGACAUAGGGACACAGGGAGACCUCUGGGGAUGCUGAGACACUUGGGGACACUUGGAGACACAGACACACAUGGGGACGCUGGGAAACAUGGGGACACAGACACUUGGAGACAUGGGGACAUUAGGAGACACUGGGAGCAAUUCAUCUAUUCAGCAGAAACUAUUCAAUCUAUUCAAACUGUAAAUAGUUCUUUGGUGAUUUUACAGAAUUUUCUCUUAUGUCACUCCUUGUGAUUGACAUCACACUAGUGUCUCAGUGUUCCCAUGUCUCCCAGGGUCCCUAGUGUCUCAGUGCCCCAAUGUCUCCCAAUGUCCCUAGUGUCUUAGUGUGCCCAUGUCUCCCAGUGUCUGUGUCCCCAUGUCUCCCAG